CAGGACGAACGCUGGCGGCGUGCCUAAUACAUGCAAGUCGAACGGUCUUUCUAUGGAAGCUUGCUUCCGCUGAGAAGAUAGUGGCGAACGGGUGAGUAACACGUGGGUAACCUGCCCAUAAGAGGGGGAUAACAUCCGGAAACGGGUGCUAAUACCGCAUAGUUUUCUUGAUCGCAUGAUCGGGAAAGAAAAGACGGCCUUUGUGCUGUCGCUUAUGGAUGGACCCGCGGCGUAUUAGUUAGUUGGUGAGGUAACGGCUCACCAAGACGAUGAUACGUAGCCGACCUGAGAGGGUGAUCGGCCACAUUGGGACUGAGACACGGCCCAAACUCCUACGGGAGGCAGCAGUAGGGAAUCUUCCGCAAUGGACGAAAGUCUGACGGAGCAACGCCGCGUGAGUGAAGAAGGUUUUCGGGAAUCGUAAAACUCUGUUGUCAGAGAAGAACAAGUUGGAGAGUAACUGCUCCAGCCUUGACGGUAUCUGACCAGAAAGCCACGGCUAACUACGUGCCAGCAGCAGC
rnacentral:rRNA from 1 species